UUCUACAUUAUCGCAACUGCCAGAGCUCUUACUGCUGCAGUUUUCUAGUCGCAGUGCGGCAAAGCAGACGCAUAGAACCAGGCACAAAGCAGCAUAGAUUUUUUUUAUUCUUGUCUUUUUCAUAUGAAGGGAGUUUUCGUGGUGUUAGCGUAGGAACAGACACACAGCCUGGAUGUGUUGGCUUCAGCCUGGCAGCGUUUUCAGCUGAGCAGGGACUGCUUGGAGCUCUGUACCCAAACUGCCUCUGAGGAAGAACGGCUGGUUUCCCACUUUGUGUACUAAGAGGGUUUUUUUUAUGCUACGGUGAUAUACCUGCAGCAAUAGGACAAAGGAGAUGGUACUUGUCACUGUUUGUCUGACUGGGGCCUUUGCAGGCACUCCACUGCCGAAGCUGUGCCAGCAUCCCAGGGUCAUAUAGAUUGGUAAUACAGAUUGCCGCAGUUUCUUACAUCAGUUAGAGCAAAGCUCAUACAAGAAACCAGACUCUGACCUAAAUCAAUCCCAGUCCUUUUGGAUACAGGGCAGCAGUCGACUAGCAAUGACACAACCAGCCAUCAAGUGGAGAGUCUCUGGGACUGCAAUCUGUAUCGGUUGGAGUCUGAGAGAAUGAUACCUUUUCGGUUAUCCAGUCGCUUCUCCUUCUUCUAAUACUACAAUUACUACAACUACAACUACUACUACUACUUCUGGUUUUCUUGCCUGUAAGAAGCUAUAAAUUGUGCUUGGUCUCUGAGCGUAUAUUUGCAUGGAUUAGUCUGUCUAUAAUGCAGUUCUUAUCUGCUCCUGCUGGAAAUCAGGGCACGAAGUCAGCCUGCUUUAACAGUUUUUUCUUUCUGCGUGAUGCUAUGCAACUAGAAUGGGUUACACUGACAACAAAGGAACAAGCACAAAGCACCACUUUCUUUGCUGGACUGUUACAGGAACAUAACUCUUCUUCGAUAUGACGCCCUGGUCUCUUCUCUUUGCUGUUCUAUUGUUGUUGGGUUUUUUUGUUUUAAAUUCAUCUAAUCGAAGAGCCUAACAGACACCAUCGUGGAUGUGGGUUUUAAUGCUUUGGAAAAGACAGCCUGUGGAGACUGCGAUUUGAGACAGCAACACAUUUAGGUUAUUGCCAAUUUGAAAUACUUGGUUUGUGAAGCACAGCCCUAAGGGACGAGCUCAGUAACUGAGAAUGAGAUUGUAGAUAAAGAAAUAAAAAUGACAAGCGUAAUGGAGGCUCUGCAAAAGAGACUGUCAGAGAAUCAGUUCAUGGAUGGCAAUUUCACCAGUCUGAAUCUGAAUAAUUCAUAGAUUGAAAUUACCCUGCUUUCACCUUUCCAUUUAAACCGGCAUGAUCUGAAUCUCUAAUAAAUUUUCAAGAUAAAGUAAAAUGCCAAUUUGAAUCUGAAGAGCUUUUAAAACCAGAUGCUACACCCUGAAUCUUUCGAUACCUUUCACAAUUAUCCUGUGAGAACCGCACUUCAUCACGAAGCACCAUUACCAGUGAAAAUUACUGUGAUUACAAUAGCAACAAUAGAAUACCAUCAAAUGAUCUCUAAUUUACCUAAUUUACCAAGGCUGACUGUGUGCCCAUUGUGUUUCACUACGUCUGGCAUUGGAUCAAUAUCACAGUGGAACAAAAAUGCCUUAGUGUGUGCUUCCUUUUGGCACCUUUAACUUUGACAGCACAGGAAAAAUCUAUCUGCUGUUAAAUGUUUUUACAGCCAAUCUGCAUGCCUGCUGUAGGAUCUGAUUGAUUCUCCAUGAUUUUCUUUAGCUCUUGAGUACUGGAUGUCAUUGUGUUACUAAUUUGUUUAUAAUGUAUACUCAUGCACAAAGACUGCAGCAAAUGAGUACCAGCAGAGAGACCCUGCACUGCUGCUGCAGUGGCAGCGCUCUCGCAGGGGAAGCCAAAAUGAGUCCGGUGCCUUAUGUUAAUAGUUGCUUGUGUCUGAGUUAGAAAUGCUUUCUAGCAUCACCGGCCUUGGUUGUAUUACAUGAAAAAUGUAUGCAAAAGCCAAGGCGAAGUAAAAUGAUUGUGUGUGAUACUAACAAGUUUUUUUUCCCCUAUUCAGCAAUUAGCAUGUGGUUGUGAGAGACAGGCUGUGACUUCUGUAGAUGUGCAUAUGUAGGUGUGCAUGCACAUACAUAGACAUAAAGAUACUGUGCUUUGUGAAUAUGUGCCGAUCACUGAAAGUAGCAACUUUUUCUGACAAGCCAGGCGCAGUGUUUUGCCACAAUCUGCUCACUCGUAACAAAUCCCUGGUUUGGAGGUGUAAAUUUCCUAUAGGAUGAAGCAUGACUUCUGGAACAGUAAGUACCAUUUAUGCAAUAUGUUGAUACCUAUAGUUACACUAAAGAAUAGUAUUUUAAGCACAGUUUGAGCCCUUGUAGCAUAACUACGAUGUGGAGAAGUGAGAAACAUGUAGAGCAGGCUAGAAACAGGCAUUCUUCAUGGAGGUGACUGUAUCUACUGUCAGUAUGUGUGUGAGUUGUACAGUUCAGUCUUGUUUUUCAUUCUAUAACCAGAUUUACUCUGCCUUCAGGGAAUAUUUUCUAAGGAAGAAAGGUUAGCUAUCAUCACUGCAGAUAUAGCUACAAGUAUGUAUCUGUUGGCUGAAGUUUUCUUGCCUGCUGAACUGCCACAGCCUUUCAGAGUACAUUUCAGGUAAGGUAAAUCCAUUAAUCAAGUGCAAAAGCACUAGGAAAAUAUAUUUUAGAAUGACAAAUACUUUUUGGUAGCACUCUCACAAGUUACUUCCCUGAAUUUGGCUUUUUUUUUAAGUUAGCAUGCCUCAUGCAACAGCCUGCCCAGUUCCCAUAUGUCUCUAGGUAAUUAUUAAUGUGUAUUGCAGUUUCACAAAAGAGUUCUAGGUGGUACUUGUCCCAGGGAGCUUGGUCAGAGAGAAACUGUAAACCCCGGCCUCUCUGGAAGGCCAGGAUUCCUUUGGUCCUGCUCCAAAAUACUGCAGUGGGCAGCUGAGCACCCCAUGCAAUGUUGUCCCACACAGCAUGCAACACGGCAGUUGCUGGGGCAUCAAUAGGUGAUGCACUAGUCUCUGCCCUGUGAGUUAAGUAACUGACACUCCCCAGCUGCUAGCUGUGUGGAAGAACUUGAAUAUUUCCCCCUUGUCUUGGAAAAGAUAAAUAGUUUAAAUUAUAUCAGUUAUACCAACAAAGGUCGUGCAUGAAGAGAAAAGGUAACAUCUUCCAGUUUUAAAUUUUGUUCAGAACAACAUGAAAAACAUAGACAAUCUCACCAUCUUAAAUGAAAGGUAAAAUAAUGGGGCAAAAAAACCCCAUUCACAGCCAUAGAAUUUGAAGCAGGCCAGGAAAGCCAUCUCACCUGUCAUUUGACCCCUUCUGUAUCAAACAGCUACGUUAACAGUAACAGCAAGGAAAUUAGACUUAUGCAUACAUGAGCAAAUAAAUAAAUAAAUAAAUAAUAAUAAAAAACCCCCCCUGAAACCAAAACGAACUGAAAAAUCCCAAUAAAACCAACAAGAAAUCCACUAUGGUAGUGAUCAAGUUUAAGAAAAAGUGGAAGCCUGUAAAAGAAGUAUCAUAAGUGACAACCCCAAGAAGAUGAUACUUCCCAGCAGAGUAAGGUCUCAGAGUAAAAAGUUCAGAAAAAGCUGCCAUGGUUAAACAGAGGAAGUUUAUUUAAGAAGAUUACAUCCCUCAAGAAGCUGAAGGUGAAAAUAGGACAUAAAACAUAAACACAUCAUAUGCCCAAAGAGACAUUAAUGGCCGUCAACAACUUGUAGUUAAGCCUUUUCUGUAUAAGCAGGACACCUGCAAAAGAGUUAGCAGGAGCAGUAGAUUGCUAAGAUAUAGAAAGAGUACACAGGAGAGAGAAAGCCAUGGCAGUGAACUGCAUCCCUAUUUGCUAUAAACUCUAGGAGGUUCCCUUGUUGGAAGCCUUCUUUAUAUAGAAUAAAUUGGAGAGACCACUGAAAAUUAUGUAUCAACAGGUUUCUAAGAAAUAGAGAAACUAAGCAGUAACAAUUUCCAAGAAACCAAAACUAGGAUUAGUGUGAAUAGAAAAGGGAAGAUAACGAAGAGCGCUCUCUUAAACCAUGGGUAGCAAAGACAGGUCAAACAGGGAAUAGAAGUUUAUGUAUCACAAAAGGCAGUGAACAAGGAUGCAUGAAAUAAUUAGCUGAUUCAAAACAAAUAAACCAGAAGUAUUUCUUCAUAUAGCAUGUUAAUAACUUCGAAUUUCCUUGCUACACAAUGUUGUGGUUUACAGAAUUUGACCAGAGUUAAAAAUCUCUUGGGCAAACUCAUCAAUUAGGAACUAUUAAAUAGACUCUACCUCUUGACUUUGGAAGUAACAUCACUAGAAGCUGGGAAUAGAAGGCAGGUAGCCAUCACUACAUGCUUGUAAUUUUAUAAUAAUCUUUAGUAAUCAUACUCCACCUUUCACCACUUUUCAUCACUUUUGGAGCCAGGAUACUGGACUAGAUAGAUCUUUUUUAGUCUGGGCUAGGACAGCCCUUCUUACAUCCUACUUUUAAGCAGCUCCUGCAGUUUGUGGAGAGCUUUCUGUGGAUUCAUGUGAUACAACCUGAACAGCAAGAGUCAGAUAAAGGACUACAAACAAAAUUAAGACCGAAAAUACUAAGAAGCAGUAAGUAAGCAGGGUCAGCAAGCAAUGUAAAGAAAAGAUAAAGCAGAAUUAAACUUGCAUAUGGUCUUUAACUCUUAAAGGAAAAAGUGGCACGACACAUGAGAUGUCAGAAAAUAAUUUUUCAUCCCCGUAAAGGAAAAAAAACUCUCUUCCUCUCAGCAGGUGAAAUGACAAGAAAAUUGGAAUUGUCCUUGUAGUGAAAAAAGUUAAAGAAGUUUAAUUCUCAGAUCAGAUCUACAUCAACACAGUUAAAAAACCCCCAAGAGCUCUGCAAGUGGACGAAUAUGUAUGCAUAGGUAGAAAAUGAAUUAUUAAUAUUCAGAAGUACGAAAAUCAUGGAAACUUAACAUUAUCUGUCUUUUUUUUUUUUUUUUUUUUAACUGACUGAAGUAAUCCCAUAGCUACAUAACCCAUAUGAAAAUGGUCUUGGUCAUGUCAGUCCUCUGUCAUGAAAUGAUUGAAUAUAAAAUGGUCUUUCAUAUUCAUUCUGUGAAAUCCUCACACAGUAUGAAUUGCUCAGGGUUGACCGACUUCCACAGAGCUAUGACAAGUCACAGCAGCUGAGUGUCCAUGCCCAGUGUGUACCAUGUACACAGCAAAGUCAUAAAUUUAGUCUUUACAAAAUCACAGUUUUCAAUGAGCUUAUUGCACUUAUUAACCAACCAUUUACUGAGAUUCUCAUACACCAACUUCUAUCAGCAGAAGGGAAGGAGAAGAGAGAAGCAAUUGUACAGAGCCUAUGGUUUCUCUUUCCUGCAGCCCUUUUUUCAAAGGGGGCCUCCUAAGACCUAUACAAUAAAGCAAUAAAGCAGGACAGUGCAGCUGUGGGAUCUGCAGCUUUUGUUUUCAUGUAUAGCAGUACACUAUUCAGCUACCACUUGGGGCUGAAGUAACCCAAAACCUCCUUGAACCUAAGCUGGGAAAGGAGGAGUUUCUCCCACUACUAGUACCUAUGAAUGGACAUUAUAAAGCCUGGUUGUCAAUCCACUCCUUAGUGAAGUAGUGGAGGAUUUAUUCACAGUCAAACCCUGAUGUUUUCUAAAUUGACCAUUAUCAUAAAUUUUUCUCAGCCAACAGCAAAGAUAAGGCUAAGCUACUGUCCAGAGGCUUUCCCUCUCUAAUAUCUUCAGAGGUUCCUCCACCUGACAAACUACUCCAGUGACAGGAAGCUCUCAUGAGAUUCGUUGUUUGUUUAAAGUAGCCAGACCUCAGACCUCUCACAAUUUUAAAGUCUCCUAAGAAAUUCAUCCUCUAAUUGUCAUUUUCAAUUUAUCCAAGAAUUUGCAACUUCUGAAUGAAUUCCUUGGCCAAAUUCAGUAAUCUCAUUAAUCUCAACCCCCAUGUUUUUGUUUCUUUCAACUUCCGCUAGCAAAAAUUCUCACAGUGCUCUUUCCCAAGAAUAACUGAAACAUUUUUUCCAUUUUUCCCAUACACUCAAGAAAAUAUCCCCAACCAUACCUGCUCCCUCUACAUUUCUUCGCAAAAUGUGAAACCCCUUCACUCUAAUUUCUAGGUGAAAUAACUGCAUAACAUAAUUUAAACUUUAUAAUUUAUAGGAAAAGUUUUGCUUUGAAAUAAAAUACAAAUAUUUGUUGCAUUGCCAACCAUUGAAGCAGAAUUGUAGUCAUUAAGCAGGCAUCAUAACUUGAAGUUAACCAGUACUUAUUAAUCUGUAUGCUGUAGCUAUAUGCUAGAGAAUUUUUUUCCAUUGUAAUGCGAUUACUUAAUGAACCAUAAUUAACAUACUAGGUUGCUUCCUGUGUAACCUUGAAAAAAAAUGCAAAAGGUAUUUCAUCAUUGUAUGAAGAAGAUACAUAAACAUGCAAAUGUUUCCUGUUGUAAGUUUUGAGGAAUGACUUCUUUAAGCAUUUAUCUAUAGUACAUCUAAAUUCAAUAGCCCUGCUAGAAGAAGGAGAAAACAUUUUGUGUUCAUUUAGUUAUUAAACGGAAUCAGGAACAGUUGCUAAAAUAAUAGAUCCCGAUUAUUCAUUACCAUUAUGCUUUACUUGUUGGAAUAGAUACCUGAUAAGAAUCGUACCAGAACUAUAGCUGCUAAUGAAUGAUUAAAGGCAGCAGAUGUGAAGGGAAAGUAGAACAACAAUACCUCAUUUGUUCUUUUUUGGAGGACACUUAUGUGGCUCUCCUUCAUUCUCUUCUGCUGAGUUCUUCUUUCAGAUCUCUACAAUAUAGUGAACUGAACUAGGACUGGAUUUGGACUCUUUCCCACCUUGUGGAAAGCUCUCUUUCUUGGACCGUGGCAAAAAAAAAAAAAAAAAAAAAAAAUUCAAAACCUUGACAAAUUUUAUGAACUAAAAAUAAUAAUAAUGUCAAAACCGUAAUUAGAAAUAUUUUGUUUAGGUGAUUUUUAAAACAUUUCAACUGUAGUAGAAUUAGUUUAUGUUUUGUAACUAAAAUCCAUUUUACAAAAAGUGUCAAAAUCCUGCUUUAUCAAGUUUAAUUUUUCAGGGCCUUGAAAUCUGAUUUGACUUGUUUCCUACAAAGUUUUGGCUUAGAAAAAUAAAGGCAUUUUUGGACUAAACUAAUUUUGCCAAAAAUCUCCAAGCUAGCUUUGCUGCCCAUGGUAAUCCGUACAAAUAUCACAGGAAACUGGUAUAUGCAAUAGCUUAAUCAGCUGGAACUUGAAUAACACGCAGACAUGUAUCUAACUGAUCCCCAGAUGACUAGGACAUCUGUGGCCCAUAUGCUGGUUAAAAAGGGAGGGCUUAAAAUUUAAUUAGACAGGAGAGAGAAACAUAGCUUGUUUUUUUUAAAAUCAUAAUUCAUUUUUUUUUUCUCUUUAUAUAUCUAUUUAAACCCCUUACAUUCACCUAAUCCACAGAUAGCUCCACGACUCCUUACAAGCUUUGUCAUGAACUACCUAAAUUCACCUAGAAUUUUAUUUUGUUGGCAUCCUAAGAAUUUAGGUCACAAAGAAACCAUCUUGAGAACCCAGGAGAGAAUAAAACCAUCAUGGACAAACACACAUGCUUGCCUGCAUGGGAAAUUAGCACGCAGUCAUUUGUAGCACAGAUGAAUACUGACAAAUACUGACACCAAAUCAGUGACUUUCAGGCUGCAUCAGACUGCAAAUUCCUAGUUUUCUUUUUCUUCCUAAUGUAAAUGUAGACCUUUAUGUAGCAAAUUAAAGGUCCCUGACUCUUCAUAGGUAAAUUUUCACAGACCUCAUAUAAAAAGCUCACAGACCUCCAGGAUCUAUGGACUACAUGUGGAAAGCAACACCAGCACUGAUGUUCCAGACUUAUUCCCACAUCAUAGAAACUCUAUACAGUGCACAUAAACUGUGAAAUACCUUUACAGGGCUUUCAAAAAACCCAUCUUUUUCAAGUUCAACUAAUUUCUAGUUAGAAACACUGGUGUGUCUUUCUAAGUGACUUGUGCAGGUGACAAAAGGAGAUAUAUGGACUAUCAUUAGAAUGCUGGUGGAUUACAUAGUCCUGUGUUUUCUGGUUCUAAUUCAGGGCAUUUUGCCCAAAGAGUUUGAGAAAAUUUCCCUCCUGCUCAGUCAAGAAUUGUGCUUGUGGUACAAAAUAGAAAUGUUACUACAUUUCUUGGGCGUAAUGAAGUGCUCAUGGAACCAGCAGAGACUUUGGCUUCAUACAUAAGCCUUAUUAAGACUUAGUUACCUUUUAAGGUGGUAGGAAAGCAAGGAUAGAGCAUGAAGUGUUCUGCCAGAGUAGCUUUAUCAAACACUACAGUGGCAGUUCAGGGGAUUCCCAGCCUCAGCUGGCUGCCUUCUGCAGAGGGGGAUGCCAGUCCUCAGCUGCUCCCAUAGCUCUCCUGACUUCAGAAUGUGUACAAACACAGUUGGGUCUCCUUAUGACACCCGCACAUAAAAUGCAAGAGGAAAAUUCAGUGCCUGGAAAAGACCAUCUCCCUGCUUGCAGGGCACAGACAGUUGGUUGUCCUCUGGCAAAUCUAGCCACAGUCACCUCUGCAUUGAACUGGUUCUGAGAGUUGGCUCAGAUUAAAAAUAAUCAGAGCUCUUUUGCAGGUGUGGAGGGGCAGGGUUUGGAUCCAGAUUGUUGCAAGCCCUCAUAAACAAUUUUACAACUGAAGGAGGGCAUAGGCUGGGAAUAAGCAGCUGGGGGCUGUUAAAGUGGCAUUGUUAGUGAAUGGCACUGCUUCCCUGAAUUUGCACUGAAACAGGGCUGGAGUGUUUGGAUAAUCAGCCAUGACAUCGGAGAUGUGGGAGUGGUACCAAGCAGAUGGGCCAAUACCUGCUUAAAGUCCUCUAGCCUGAGUCACUGAAAAGGACAUCUGCCUCUGCUCUCAGACCGGAUGUCUCAGUGACCCCAUCACAGCUGGACAGCAAGAACGCUUCUGUUAUAAACUGAUGUUUUUCACAAGCCUGUGCUCUGAGUAGUAUUUUGAAUUAAUUUUCACAAGGCAGCCAAAACCACUGCUCCAGUCAGAUGUGCUGAAUAUCAAGUCCUUGUUGCAACACACAGAGUUACCACAGCUCCUCAGAAAAACAGUUACAAAAAUAUUUUUUAAGAUGCCAAAAGCAGCACCCUUUUCCCUUAGCUUUUUCCAACAAAACAAUUUCAUCUGAAACUUCUCACUCUGAGACGCACAAUAGUUUUGGAGAUUUCAGUCCCCAGGAUGAAAGGUUAGCACAGUUAAUCUGAAAGUUGAAUUCCUGAAGGCAACGCUGGGCACCUGUGGCUAUAUUCUGCUUUAGUCUAAAAUGUUACCAUGUCUCUCCGUCCCUCUUUUAUUGUACGAAACCCUAGACCAUCGUAUUUUUCUCAGUAUCACUCGGGCCAGCACCCGACACUAAAAGCAUAUAGAUAUGACUAAUGUGAAAAGGCUGAAUAAAAGGCAUUUUAAAAAUAAACCAGAAAUAAACCAUUACUUAAGAAUAA